GCGCACGGGUGAGUAACACGUAUCCAACCUGCCGUCUACUCUUGGACAGCCUUCUGAAAGGAAGAUUAAUACAAGAUGGCAUCAUGAGUCCGCAUGUUCACAUGAUUAAAGGUAUUCCGGUAGACGAUGGGGAUGCGUUCCAUUAGAUAGUAGGCGGGGUAACGGCCCACCUAGUCUUCGAUGGAUAGGGGUUCUGAGAGGAAGGUCCCCCACAUUGGAACUGAGACACGGUCCAAACUCCUACGGGAGGCAGCAGUGAGGAAUAUUGGUCAAUGGGCGAGAGCCUGAACCAGCCAAGUAGCGUGAAGGAUGACUGCCCUAUGGGUUGUAAACUUCUUUUAUAAAGGAAUAAAGUCGGGUAUGGAUACCCGUUUGCAUGUACUUUAUGAAUAAGGAUCGGCUAACUCCGUGCCAGCAGCCGCGGUAAUACGGAGGAUCCGAGCGUUAUCCGGAUUUAUUGGGUUUAAAGGGAGCGUAGAUGGAUGUUUAAGUCAGUUGUGAAAGUUUGCGGCUCAACCGUAAAAUUGCAGUUGAUACUGGAUAUCUUGAGUGCAGUUGAGGCAGGCGGAAUUCGUGGUGUAGCGGUGAAAUGCUUAGAUAUCACGAAGAACUCCGAUUGCG
rnacentral:rRNA from 1 species